ACCAUUAGCUUACAAUCAUUCAGAGCCCUAUGAUUUAUCAGGGUGAUGGACUGCCUUUUGCAUAAUGAGCCUGCGAGUUGUGGUGUCUGGCAAGGUUAAGUCAAGUACGAAGCCGUAGCGAAAGCGAGUCUUAAUAGGGCGAAUUAGUCAGAUGCUGCAGACCCGAAACGAAGUGAUCUAUCCAUGAGCAGGUUGAAGCUGGUGUAAGAGCCAGUGGAGGACCGAACCCGCAGGCGUUGAAAAGUCUUGGGAUGACUUGUGGAUAGGGGUGAAAGGCCAAUCAAACUUCGUGAUAGCUGGUUCUCUCCGAAAUAUAUUUAGGUAUAGCCUUGUGUUGUAGCAUAUGGGGGUAGAGCACUGAAUGGGCUAGGGCUGCUUACCGCGGUACCAAACCCUAUCAAACUAUGAAUACUAUAUGUGGAAUCACAGGAGUCAGGCGGUGGGUGAUAAAAUCAAUCGUCGAGAGGGGAACAACCCAGACUAACAGCUAAGGUCCCUAAGUUACAUCUAAGUGGAAAACGAUGUGGAGUUACUGUGACAACCAGGAGGUUGGCUUAGAAGCAGCCAUCCUUUAAAGAAAGCGUAACAGCUCACUGGUCUAGUGAUUCUGCGCGGAAAAUAUAACGGGGCUAAGAUGUACACCGAAGCUUUAGAUUCAAUUUUUAAUUGAGUGGUAGGAGAGCGUUCUAUUCAGCGUAGAAGAUGUACCGGUAAGGAGCGUUGGAGCGGAUAGAAGUGAGCAUGCAGGCAUGAGUAGCGAUAAUUGAGGUGAGAAUCCUCAACGCCGAAAACCCAAGGUUUCCUACGCGAUGCUCGUCAUCGUAGGGUUAGUCGGGACCUAAGUCGAGUCCGAAAGGGGUAGACGAUGGCAAAUUGAUUAAUAUUUCAAUACCAACAUAUAA
rnacentral:rRNA from 1 species